rnacentral:rRNA from 1 species
GAUGAACGCUGGCGGCGUGCCUAAUACAUGCAAGUCGAGCGAACGGACGAGAAGCUUGCUUCUCUGAUGUUAGCGGCGGACGGGUGAGUAACACGUGGAUAACCUACCUAUAAGACUGGGAUAACUUCGGGAAACCGGAGCUAAUACCGGAUGAUAUUUUGAACCGCAUGGUUCAAAAGUGAAAGACGGUCUUGCUGUCACUUAUAGAUGGAUCCGCGCUGCAUUAGCUAGUUGGUAAGGUAACGGCUUACCAAGGCAACGAUGCAUAGCCGACCUGAGAGGGUGAUCGGCCACACUGGAACUGAGACACGGUCCAGACUCCUACGGGAGGCAGCAGUAGGGAAUCUUCCGCAAUGGGCGAAAGCCUGACGGAGCAACGCCGCGUGAGAGAUGAAGGUCUUCGGAUCGUAAAACUCUGUUAUUAGGGAAGAACAUAUGUGUAAGUAACUGUGCACAUCUUGACGGUACCUAAUCAGAAAGCCACGGCUAACUACGUG